UACGGAGGGGGCUAGCGUUGUUCGGAAUUACUGGGCGUAAAGCGCGCGUAGGCGGCUUUGUAAGUUAGAGGUGAAAGCCCGGAGCUCAACUCCGGAACUGCCUUUAAGACUGCAUCGCUAGAAUUGUGGAGAGGUGAGUGGAAUUCCGAGUGUAGAGGUGAAAUUCGUAGAUAUUCGGAAGAAACACCAGUGGCGAAGGCGACUCACUGGACCGUCUCUGACGCUGAGGUGCGAAAAGCUAGGGUAGCAAACGGG
rnacentral:rRNA from 1 species